GUCUCUGUGGUGUAGUGGUCAGCACGCUCGGCGCGUAUUCGAGAGGUCCGUGGUUCGAAUCCCGGCGAGGGCG
rnacentral:tRNA from 1 species